UACGAAGGUGGCAAGCGUUGUUCGGAUUUACUGGGCGUACAGGGAGCGUAGGCGGUUGGAUAAGCCCUCCGUGAAAUCUCCAGGCUUAACCUGGAAAGUGCAGAGGGGACUGUUCAGCUAGAGGAUGGGAGAGGAGCGCGGAAUUCCCGGUGUAGCGGUGAAAUGCGUAGAGAUCAGGAAGAACACCCGUGGCGCAAGCGGCCACCUGGCUGCCAACUGACGCUGAGGCACGAGAGCGUGGGGAGCGAACCGG
rnacentral:rRNA from 1 species